rnacentral:rRNA from 1 species
GUGGUGAGAGUGGCGAACGGGUGAGUAAUGCGUGACCGACCUGCCCCAUACACCGGAAUAGCUCCUGGAAACGGGUGGUAAUGCCGGAUGCUCCGACAUGACGCAUGUCGUGUCGGGAAAGAUUCAUCGGUAUGGGAUGGGGUCGCGUCCUAUCAGGUAGUCGGCGGGGUAACGGCCCACCGAGCCUACGACGGGUAGCCGGCCUGAGAGGGCGACCGGCCACAUUGGGACUGAGAUACGGCCCAGACUCC